GUGCAAAAGUAAUUGUGGUUUUUGUCAUUAGAAGUAAUGGCAAAAACCACAAUUACUUU
rnacentral:miRNA from 1 species